UACAUGGGGUGCAAACGUUGCUCGGAAUUAUUGGGCGUAAAGCGCGCGUAGGCGGUUACUCAAGUCGGAUGUGAAAUCCCUCGGCUUAACCGGGGAACUGCGUCUGAUACUGGAUGGCUUGAGAUUGGGAGAGGGACGCGGAAUUCCUGGUGUAGCGGUGGAAUGCGCAGAUAUCAGGAGGAACACCGGUGGCGAAGGCGGUUCUCUGGGCAUUACCUGACGCUGAGGAGCGAAAGCAUGGGGAGCGAACAGG
rnacentral:rRNA from 1 species